rnacentral:rRNA from 1 species
UGAUACUAAGCCAUGCGAGUCAUUGUAGCAAUACAAGGCAUACGGCUCAGUAACGCGUAGUCAACCUAACCUAUGGACGGGAAUAACCUCGGGAAACUGAGAAUAAUGCCCGAUAGAACAUUAUGCCUGGAAUGGUUUAUGUUCCAAAUGAUUUAUCGCCGUAGGAUGGGACUGCGGCCUAUCAGUUUGUUGGUGAGGUAAUGGCCCACCAAGACUAUUACAGGUACGGGCUCUGAGAGGAGUAGCCCGGAGAUGGGUACUGAGACACGGACCCAGGCCCUAUGGGGCCCAGCAGGCGAGAAAACUUUGCAAUGUGCGAAAGCACGACAAGGUUAAUCCGAGUGGUUUCUGCUAAAGGAACCUUUUGUCAGUCCUAGAAACACUGAUGAAUAAGGGGUGGGCAAGUUCUGGUGUCAGCCGCCGCGGUAAAACCAGCACCUCAAGUGGUCAGGAUGAUUAUUGGGCCUAAAGCAUCCGUAGCCGGCUCUGUAAGUUUUCGGUUAAAUCUGUACGCUCAACGUACAGGCUGCCGGGAAUACUGCAAAGCUAGGGAGUGGGAGAGGUAGACGGUACUCGGUAGGAAGGGGUAAAAUCCUUUGAUCUAUUGACGACCACCUGUGGCGAAGGCGGUCUACCAGAACACGUCCGACGGUGAGGGAUGAAAGCUGGGGGAGCAAACCGGAUUAGAUACCCGGGUAGUCCCAGCUGUAAACCAUGCAAACUCAGUGAUGCAUUGGCUUGUGGCCAAUGCAGUGCUGCAGGGAAGCCGUUAAGUUUGCCGCCUGGGAAGUACGUACGCAAGUAUGAAACUUAAAGGAAUUGGCGGGGGAGCACCACAAGGGGUGAAGCCUGCG